CAGGCCCUGAAUGAAGGCCGCUGGCUUGCUGUAGCCGUCGGUUUCAAGCAGGAGCCCAGAGCAAUGCCUCCCGGUCUGUUGGUGCUCCCGUGCCCGUGGAGCGGCCAGUUCGUGUGGGAGCCACAGGA